rnacentral:rRNA from 1 species
AGAGUUUGAUCCUGGCUCAGAACGAACGCUGGCGGCGUGCCUAACACAUGCAAGUCGAACGGAGAUAAGGGGCUUGCUCCUUAUUUUAGUGGCGCACGGGUGAGUAACGCGUGGAUAAUCUACCUUGGAAUCUGGGAUAACAUUUCGAAAGGGGUGCUAAUACCGGAUAAGACCACGAGCUCUUUGGAGUUUGCGGUAAAAGGGGGCCUCUGUAUAUGCUUCUGUUUCAAGAUGAGUCCGCGUACCAUUAGCUAGUUGGCAGGGUAAUGGCCUACCAAGGCGACGAUGGUUAGCUGGUCUGAGAGGAUGAUCAGCCACACUGGAACUGAGACACGGUCCAGACUCCUACGGGAGGCAGCAGUGGGGAAUUUUGCGCAAUGGGGGAAACCCUGACGCAGCAACGCCGCGUGAGUGAUGAAGGCCUUCGGGUCGU